UACGUAGGUGGCAAGCGUUGUCCGGAAUUAUUGGGCGUAAAGCGCGCGCAGGCGGUCCUUUAAGUCUGAUGUGAAAGCCCACGGCUCAACCGUGGAGGGUCAUUGGAAACUGGGGGACUUGAGUGCAGAAGAGGAGAGUGGAAUUCCACGUGUAGCGGUGAAAUGCGUAGAGAUGUGGAGGAACACCAGUGGCGAAGGCGACUUCCUGGCCUGUUCUUGACGCUGAGGCGCGAAAGCUAGGGUAGCAAACGGG
rnacentral:rRNA from 1 species